rnacentral:rRNA from 1 species
CAGUAGCCGCGGGAAUACGAAGGGGGCUAGCGUUGCUCGGAAUGACUGGGCGUAAAGGGCGCGUAGGCGGAAUGCUUUGUCGGGCGUGAAAUUCCAGGGCUUAACCUUGGGGCUGCGUUCGAGACGGGUAUUCUAGAGUGGAGAAGAGGGUCGUGGAAUUCCCAGUGUAGAGGUGAAAUUCGUAGAUAUUGGGAAGAACACCGGUGGCGAAGGCGGCAACCUGGUCCAUUACUGACGCUGAGGCGCGACAGCGUGGGGAGCAAACAGGAUUAGAUACCCCCGUAGUCCCUGUCUCUUAUAC